UGGGGUGUUGGGCAAAUGGCUGGCCCGCCUGGUUGUAGCCCAGGUUCUUUCGAGACGUGCAGGUUCAAGUCCUGUCACCCCAAC
rnacentral:tRNA from 1 species